GUGGUUAGUCCCAGUGUGUCUGUAGAUUGGAGCAGUGCUGCAGUCCUGGACGCCACACAGAGUGAUACUGGUUCCUGCCGACAGGGCCUGUAGAGUCCUCGGGCUCCCUGUGCGAUGGUUCCACACAUU